rnacentral:rRNA from 1 species
UAGUGGCAGACGGGUGAGUAACGCGUGGGAACGUACCUUUCACUACGGAAUAGCUCUUGGAAACGAGUGGUAAUACCGUAUACGCCCUCCGGGGGAAAGAUUUAUCGGUGAAAGAUCGGCCCGCGUUAGAUUAGCUAGUUGGUAGGGUAAUGGCCUACCAAGGCGACGAUCUAUAGCUGGUCUGAGAGGAUGAUCAGCCACACUGGGACUGAGACACGGCCCAGACUCCUACGGGAGGCAGCAGUGGGGAAUCUUGCACAAUGGGCGAAAGCCUGAUGCAGCCAUGCCGCGUGAAUGAUGAAGGCCUUAGGGUUGUAAAAUUCUUUCGCUAGGGAUGAUAAUGACAGUACCUAGUAAAGAAGCCCCGGCUAACUUCGUGCCAGCAGCCGCGGUAAUACGAAGGGGGCUAGCGUUGUUCGGAAUUACUGGGCGUAAAGCGCACGUAGGCGGACUUUUAAGUCAGGUGUGAAAUCCCAGGGCUCAACCCUGGAACUGCAUUUGAAACUGGAAGUCUAGAGACCAGGAGAGGUUAGCGGAAUACCGAGUGUAGAGGUGAAAUUCGUAGAUAUUCGGUGGAACACCAGUGGCGAAGGCGGCUAACUGGACUG